AUCAGGUGUGGUUCCUGCUUGGUUGGAAGGAAGCCCUGCACCAGCACCGGCUCUUUGCCCACCCCUGCUUUAGGAUGUAGUUUUAGAAACUGAACUUUUAUAACCUUCUGUAAUCAAAAGACUUAUUUUCAGACAUAACAGGACCUCAUUGUUGGUUACAGCGCUGCAGUCAAUUUCCUGGUCAUUUUUUAUCACACACAGGGCCUCCAAGUGAGGUAACCAGAGCUGAACCUUGACUCCCAUUGGAGAUCAAGGGAGCUCCUCAACUCCAAGCAGCGGGGUAACACCAUGUGAGACCUGGUGGACUGGGACGGCUAAAGUCCUAAAGAGCGAUCAUGAAUCUCAGCUAAAGACAUAUUGGACCCCUUACUGAUCUCACUUCGAGAGCCACCCAUCUGGGGGGCUUCUGUAAUAUCCAGCCCAGAAAAUCCCUUGCCAGAGUGUGCCCUCCCCCCAAAGUUUUAAACAUCUUUUCCCAUAUGAUAUACACUCACAGAAUACUUUAUUAGGAACACCUAUACACCUACUCAUUCAUUCAAUUAUCCAAUCAGCCAAUCAUGUGGUUGCAGUGCAAUGCCUAAAAUGAUGCAGAUACAAGCCAGCACCUUCAGAUAAUGUUUACAUUAACCAUCAGAAUGGGGAAAAAAAAUAUGAUCUCAGUGAUUUUGACCGUGGCAUGAUUGUUAGUGCCAGAGCAUUUGAGCAUUUCAAUAACUUCUGAACUCUGGGGAUUUUCAUGCACAACAGUCUUUAGAGUUUACUCCAGUGAGCAGUAUUUCUGCAGACAGAUACACCUUAUUGUUGGGAGAGAUCAAUGGAGAAUGGCCAGACUGGUUCAAGCUGAAAGGGCUUGAACAAGGAAGAAAGGCUACAGUAACUCAAAUAUCCACUCUGUACAAUUGUGGUGAGCAGAAAAGCAUCUCAGAAUGCACAACAUGCACGAACCUUGAGGCAGAUGGGCUACAAGAGAAGAUGAUCAUGUCAGGUUCCAAUUCUGUCAGCCAAGAUGAGACAGCUGAGGCUGCAGUGGGCACAGGCUCACUAAAACUGGACUGUUGAGGACUGGACCUUUUGAGAUGAAUCUCAAUUUCUCCUGAGGCACACAGAUGAUAGGGUCAGAAUUUGUCACCAGCAGCAUAAAUCUAUGGAUCCAAACUGCCUUGUGUCAACAGUCCAGGCUAGUGGAGGUGAUGUAAUGGUGUGGGGGAAUGUUUUCUUGGCAUACUUGGACCCUGCUAACACCAAUCAGUUAUCGCUUGAAUGUCACAGACUAUUUGAGUAUCAUUGCGGACCAUGUGCAUCCCUUUGUGGCUACAAUUUACCCAUCUUUUUAUGCCAGGUGCCAGUAUGAGAAUGCACCAUGUUACAAAACUGGUUUCAUGAACAUGACAAUGAGUUUAAUGUUCUUCAGUGGCCUUCCCAGUCACUGGAUCUGAAUCCAAUCGAACACCUUUGGUAUGUGGUAGAACGGGACAUUUUCAGCAUGAAAAUGCUCCUGAAAAAUCUGCAGGAAUUGUGUGACGCAGUCAUGUCAGUGUGGACCAGAAUCUCAAAGGAAUCGUUCCAACAUCUUGUAGAAUCCAUGCCAUGAAGAAUUUAAGCUGUUCUGAGAGCAAAGUGAGGCCCUACCCAGUAUUGGUAUAGUGUUCCUAAUAAAGAGCUCUGUGAAUGUAUAACCAAAUGGACUCUUAGUCACUUCAAGAAGCCUUACAGUUCGUCUGUCACACUAGUAAGUGCUUUGUACCUGUGUAUGACCCUUCUUGUUUUGUCUAGAUGGCAUUGUCUCCUGCAUAACCUGUCUGACAGACCUAUGUCACAUUCUGCCUCUCUACUGCUUUUUCUACGCCCCAAAUAAUCGACCGCUCCCUACAGCAGCAACUAGUGAAUGUAUUAUUAAUCUAUAAGGGCUCGAAAACAGUGGCAUACCUUUCGGUUAGUUGGUGCUAACAAUAAAAUUGCUAUUCCAAAUUUUA